GUAGGUGGCAAGCGUUGUCCGGAAUUAUUGGGCGUAAAGCGCGCGCAGGCGGUCCUUUAAGUCUGAUGUGAAAGCCCACGGCUCAACCGUGGAGGGCCAUUGGAAACUGGGGGACUUGAGUACAGAAGAGGAAAGCGGAAUUCCAAGUGUAGCGGUGAAAUGCGUAGAGAUUUGGAGGAACACCAGUGGCGAAGGCGGCUUUCUGGUCUGUAACUGACGCUGAGGCGCGGAAGCGUGGGGAGCAAACAGGAUUAGAUACCCUGGUAGUCCACGCCGUAAACGAUGAGUGCUAGGUGUUAGGGGGUUUCCCGCCCCCCUUAGUGCUGCAGCUAACGCAUUAAGCACUCCGCCUGGGGAGUACGGCCGCAAGGCUG
rnacentral:rRNA from 1 species